UAGAGUUUGAUCCUGGCUCCAAUGAACGCUGGCGGCGUGCUUCCACCUGUACGUUGAGCGGGUUCUGGGGGGCAACUCCGGAACUCCAGCUUCUGACGGGUGAGACUUUGUGGGUAACCUACCCGGAAGUGGGGAAUACCUCGAGGAAACUCGAGCUAAUACGGUAUGACAUCUCCGGGACGAGAGUCCUGGUGAUGAAAGCGGGGUCGCAAGAUCUCUCGCUACCGGAUGGGCCCGCGCCCGAUUAGCCAGUUGGUGAGGUAACGGCUCACCAAGGCUUCGAUCGGUAACCGGCCUGAGAGGGCGAUCGGUCACACCGGAACUGAAACACGGUCCGGACUCCUACGGGAGGCAGCAUUGGGGAAUCUUGCGCAAUGGGCGAAAGCCUGACGCAGCAACGCCGCGUGGAGGAUGAAGGCCCUUGGGUUGUAAACUCCUGUCGGCUGGGAAGAAAUCGUUCGUGGCUCAUACCCACGGACGUUGACUGUACCAGUAAAGGAAGCCGCAGAUAUCUCUGCGCCUGCAGUCACGUUAAUACAGAGGGGGCUAGCGUUAUGCGGAAUUAUUGGGCGUAAAGGGCGCGUAGGCUUGUAUGCGUGUCUUCCGUGAAAUCUCUCGGCUUAACUGACGACGAGCGGACGAAACUGCGAGGCUCGAGUCCGGGAGAGGGGGGUGGAAUGGGUAGAGUAGCGCGACAAUGCGUGCAUAUCGUGAGGACACCGACUGGCGAAGGCAGCUCCCCUGGAUCUGCUACUGACGCUGACGCGCGAAAGCGUGAGUAGCAGAUCGAGAGGAGAUACCUCCGGCAGUCGACGUCCUACACAAUGGUAACUUGUGUCCGCGUGCAUCGACCACUGCAGCGCCGAAGCCAAAGACAUGAGGCUGUCCCAGUCUGGUGCAAGUACG
rnacentral:rRNA from 1 species